ACGAACGCUGGCGGCGUGCUUAACGCAUGCACGUCGAACGGAAAGGCCCUGCUUUUGUGGGGUGCUCGAGUGGCGAACGGGUGAGUAACACGUGAGUAACCUGCCCUUGACUUUGGGAUAACUUCAGGAAACUGGGGCUAAUACCGGAUAGGAGCUCCUGCUGCAUGGUGGGGGUUGGAAAGUUUCGGCGGUUGGGGAUGGACUCGCGGCUUAUCAGCUUGUUGGUGGGGUAGUGGCUUACCAAGGCUUUGACGGGUAGCCGGCCUGAGAGGGUGACCGGCCACAUUGGGACUGAGAUACGGCCCAGACUCCUACGGGAGGCAGCAGUGGGGAAUAUUGCACAAUGGGCGGAAGCCUGAUGCAGCAACGCCGCGUGCGGGAUGACGGCCUUCGGGUUGUAAACCGCUUUCGCCUGUGACGAAGCGUGAGUGACGGUAAUGGGUAAAGAAGCACCGGCUAACUACGUG
rnacentral:rRNA from 1 species